AUACAUCAGCAUCCACUGCCCGUGGUUCAUGUUGAUGCAUUCCUUUAUGAUGAUGAUUUUCGUUGAUUCAUUGUGUGAGGAGGAGAGAAUGAAUAGAAAUUACUGUGCAGAGUGUGGCUCAUACAAGACUGCAUCUUUAGGGUUAUCUUUAUAGCUCAGCAUCCCAACUCUAUGGAGUAGAAAUGAAGACUUUUGCCAGUUGCAAGAAAUGACAGUUAUAAAAUACCAGCUCAUUAACAGAAUAAAGGUGAAAGUAAAUGAAAUCAAGCCAGCUCCUAUGCUGUCUGGGGACGCAGUCGUUUGGGAAGGUGGUUCAUGCAGACAUCUGUACUCAGGCUUCACUUCUUCAGUAGGCUGAUGUUUGUUGUUGUAAUGAAUAAUGUCUUUGAAUAUUUUCUCGACAGACUGGAACAGGCCAGAGCUUGGGAGUUUAUUGCUUGUAAUGUAAAGAAAAGAGGGUCCUUAUUAGUGACAGUUCCAAACCUUAAAGAUUUGCUCUCAAAGCUUCGGCUGUCUUCUCCCCCAGGCUCCCGGAGGAGAGCAGCCGGAGGCAAGCAGCCGGAGGCAAGCAGAAGUGCCACCCGAGUGUGGCAUUGCCUGCCUCUUGUCUCUGUCACUGGAAGACAGUAACAGCACUCUUAGCCAGUCACUUUAGCGGAGCAGCUUCUCCAGGCCAAUGCGGCCUGGAAUAAUGAUGGAAGCUUUUCUAAAGGACUGCUUCGCACUCUCCAGGAAUUCCCAUCAGGGCCUCCAAAGAAAUGGUCAGACCCAGCCCCAUCCCACUUCGGAGGUACCAUGGCAGACCCAGGCUCUGACUCCCCGCCUUGGAAAUGUGGGAGCUCAGCACAGACAAUGCUGUGCCUCAUUGCCAGCAUUUUAACAAAUGGUCUCUCAAAAUUCACCCUUGGGCUGUGACAAACCCUCUGCAGUAGAGGGGCAUGUAUUUGUAGAAAUAAGUGGAGAAGGAGGGCAAUGCUGUUUGGCCAACUAAUGCACGUUAAAUUUCUGCAAAUGUCGGUACAUCCACUCGUUUGAGAACAGAUUCAUGUGGCACAGUGUUUUGGGGAAGAGAGAGAGAUGGA